GACGAACGCUGGCGGCGUGCUUAACACAUGCAAGUCGAACGAAAAGAGGGAAAGAGCUUGCUCUUUCCGGAAUUGAGUGGCAAACGGGUGAGUAACACGUAAACAACCUGCCUUCAGGAUGGGGACAACAGACGGAAACGACUGCUAAUACCGAAUAAGUUCCAAGAGCCGCAUGGCCCAUGGAAGAAAAGGUGGCCUCUACCUGUAAGCUAUCGCCUGAAGAGGGGUUUGCGUCUGAUUAGCUGGUUGGAGGGGUAACGGCCCACCAAGGCGACGAUCAGUAGCCGGUCUGAGAGGAUGAACGGCCACACUGGAACUGAGACACGGUCCAGACUCCCACGGGAGGCAGCAGUGGGGAAUCUUCCGCAAUGGGCGAAAGCCUGACGGAGCAACGCCGCGUGAGUGAUGACGGCCUUCGGGUUGUAAAACUCUGUGAUCCGGGACGAAAAGGCAGAGUGCGAAGAACAAACUGCAUUGACGGUACCGGAAAAGCAAGCCACGGCUAACUACGUG
rnacentral:rRNA from 1 species